UGGUCCUAGCCUUGAAAUCAGUUCUUACUUUAUUUAUACAUGCAAGUAUCCGCACCCCUGUGAAAACGCCCUUAGACCCCUAAUAUGGGUAAGGAGCUGGUAUCAGGCACAAAUAUUAGCCCAAGACACCUAGCUACGCCACACCCACAAGGGAACUCAGCAGUAAUUAACAUUGAUUAUAAGCGACAGCUAGAUUCAGUUAAAGUAAAAAGGGCAGGCAAAUUUGGUGCCAGCCGCCGCGGUUACACCAUGUGGCCCAAAUUGAUUUUUCUCGGCGUAAAGAGUGAUUAAAGUACUAUUAUACUGUAGUUGAACUAUAAUUUAGUUGUGAUAAGCUUAUAUAUAGAAAAUUCAAAAACGAAAGUUACUACAUUUUAAACAACUUGAACUCACAACAGCUAAGACACAAACUAGGAUUAGAGACCCUACUAUGCUUAGCCACAAACUUUUAAUUACACCUCAAACGCCAGGGAACUACGAGCAAAGCUUAAAACCCAAAGGACUUGACGGUGCCCCAUAUCCCCCUAGAGGAGCCUGUCCUAUCAUCGAUAAUCCCCGUUUAACCUCACCAUCUUUAGCUUAAUCAGUCUGUAUACCUCCGUCGUCAGCUUACCACAUGAGUGUCCAUUAGUAAGUACAAUGUUUAUUUUACCAUCAACACGUCAGGUCAAGGUGCAACUAAUAAGAUGGGAAGCGAUGGGCUACACUUUCUAAUUUAGAACACACGGAAAACUACUAUGAAAACUAUUUUAAAGGCGGAUUUAGCAGUAAAAAAAGAUCAGAGAGCUUUUUUUAAUUCGGCCCUGGGGCGUGUACACACCGCCCGUCACCCUCUUCGCAGCUAUAACAUAGUAUUUUACAAAACUUUGCGCAGUAGAAGAGGUAAGUCGUAACAUGGUAAGUGUACCGGAAGGUGUGCUUGGAAA
rnacentral:ncRNA from 1 species